rnacentral:pre_miRNA from 1 species
AUGCGCUGUGCUACGUGACACCCCCUCGCCGAUUGGCUACGUGACAAACCCCCUCGCCGAUUGGCCACUUGUCGGGUGGUGCUGGUGGUGGCAGCGGU